rnacentral:rRNA from 1 species
AAUCAAGUGCCUCAAGGGUGUUCGGUGGAUGCCU